rnacentral:rRNA from 1 species
GGAGGAAAGUAGGGGAUCGCAAGACCUUGCGCUCAUUGAGCGGCCGAUGCCUGAUUAGCUAGUUGGUGAGGUAAAGGCUUACCAAGGCGACGAUCAGUAGCUGGUCUGAGAGGACGACCAGCCACACUGGGACUGAGACACGGCCCAGACUCCUACGGGAGGCAGCAGUGGGGAAUUUUGGACAAUGGGGGAAACCCUGAUCCAGCCAUGCCGCGUGAGUGAAGAAGGCCUUCGGGUUGUAAAGCUCUUUCAGCCGGAACGAAACGGUCACGGCUAAUACCUGUGAUCACUGACGGUACCGGAAGAAGAAGCACCGGCUAACUACGUGCCAGCAGCCGCGGUAAUACGUAGGGUGCAAGCGUUAAUCGGAAUUACUGGGCGUAAAGCGUGCGCAGGCGGUUUUGUAAGUCAGAUGUGAAAUCCCCGGGCUUAACCUGGGAACUGCGUUUGAAACUACAAAGCUAG